GAAAAACUCCCUUUGUUUGUAGGGCCAGGCCUCAAGCUCAUCAUCGUCAUCAUCGUCAGUGUUGUCAGACGUCAGGUGCCCCAGUCUGAAGUCAGCAGAUACUCCUCCUGUCUGGGCAAGCAGCACUGCCAGCAACGCCCUGGUGAUCCUAAGCCUCCUGAGUGCCACUCUUUGUGAGACUGCUAGCCAUGUUCGACAAAAGGAAUGUUUUU
rnacentral:lncRNA from 1 species